GGGGGUGCACUGGCUUCGACGGGGGUUGCGAAAUUGUCUGGUGCAUGCCGAGGGGGCAGCUUUCCUCGUAAAUCCAGCGGCAAAAUCAUAGUUGCCAACGACGACAACUACGCUCUCGCCGCUUAAGGCGUAAGCCCCGAACCCACUUGUGCCCGUGCUCGUGGAUGUAGGGUCAUUAUCACGGAACCGGCGUUGACGGCUGCCUGUCAGUCAUCGCUUAACCAAAACAGGCUGGCCCUGGGGUGCGCUUCGCACGCCGUGCUGCUCCGGGACGAGAUCCAACGGUGAGCUAAGCAUGUAGUACCGGGCAUGGAGUGCCUUCGGACGGGGGUUCAAUUCCCCCCACCUCCACCA
rnacentral:tmRNA from 3 species